GUGCUCACUUCAGCAAUACACAUAUUAAAGUAUAAUGAUACAGAGAAGAUCGACAUAGCCCCUCACGAGGAAGACACAAAUUCAUGAAGGCUUCCAUAUUAAA
ensembl:snRNA U6 U6 spliceosomal RNA